GACGAACGCUGGCGGCGUGCUUAACACAUGCAAGUCGAACGGAAAGGCCCUGCUUUUGUGGGGUGCUCGAGUGGCGAACGGGUGAGUAACACGUGAGUAACCUGCCCUUGACUUUGGGAUAACUUCAGGAAACUGGGGCUAAUACCGGAUAGGAGCUCCUGCUGCAUGGUGGGGGUUGGAAAGUUUCGGCGGUUGGGGAUGGACUCGCGGCUUAUCAGCUUGUUGGUGGGGUAGUGGCUUACCAAGGCUUUGACGGGUAGCCGGCCUGAGAGGGUGACCGGGCCACAUGGGACUGGAGAUACGGCCAGACUCCUACGGGAGGCAGCAGUGGGGAAUAUUGCACAAUGGGCGGAAGCCUGAUGCAGCAACGCCGCGUGCGGGAUGACGGCCUUCGGGUUGUAAACCGCUUUCGCCUGUGACGAAGCGUGAGUGACGGUAAUGGGUAAAGAAGCACCGGCUAACUACGUG
rnacentral:rRNA from 1 species